GGUUGUGGCUCAGUGGUUGAGUGCUUGCCCUACAUGCGUGAGGCACUGGGUUGGAUCCUCAGCACCA
rnacentral:tRNA from 1 species